rnacentral:rRNA from 1 species
GACGAACGCUGGCGGCGUGCCUAAUACAUGCAAGUAGAACGCAGUUGCGAACGGGGGAGUAACGCGUAGGUAACUGCCUGGCAGCGGGGGAUAACUAUUGGAAACGAUAGCUAAUACCGCAUACUACCAGAUGGACCUGCGUUGUAUUAGCUAGUUGGUGAGGUAACGGAUCACCAAGGCAACGAUACAUAGCCGACGGGGGAGGGAGAUCGGCCAAGCUGGGACUGAGACACGGCCCAGACGCCUACGGGAGGCAGCAGUAGGGAAUCUUCGGCAAUGGGGGGGAACCGGACCAAGCAACGCCGCGUGAGUGGAGAGGGUUUUCGGAGCGUAAAGCUCUGUUGUUAAGGAAGCGGUACUUAACCAGAAAGGGACGGCUAACUACGUGCCAGCGACCGCGGUAAUAC